UUAUGCAUUCAGUGUCUUAGACUUCAAAG
rnacentral:piRNA from 1 species